rnacentral:rRNA from 1 species
UUGACCUCGGAUCAGGUAGGACUACCCGCUGAA